rnacentral:rRNA from 1 species
AUUGAACGCUGGCGGCAGGCCUAACACAUGCAAGUCGAACGAGUAGCGGACGGGUGAGUAAUGUCUGGGAAACUGCCUGAUGGAGGGGGAUAACUACUGGAAACGUUAGCUAAUACCGCAUAACAUUGGAUGUGCCCAGAUGGGAUUAGCUAGUAGGUGGGGUAAAGGCCUACCAAGACGACGAUCCGUAACUGGUCUGAGAGGAUGAUCAUGCACACGGGAACUGAGACACGGUCCAGACUCCUACGGGAGGCAGCAGUGGGGAAUAUUGGACAAUGGGCGAAAGCCUGAUCCAGCCAUGCCGCGUGUGGGAAGAAGGUCUUCGGAUUGUAAAGCACUUUAAGUUGGGAGGCGUUACCAACCGAAUAAGCACCGGCUAACUUCGUGCCAGCAGCCGCGGUAAUUC